CAUGAGGUGAACUUGAACCAAACUCGAGCCAUCUCAUAAAAAAAAUACAAGUUACUCACGAGCUUUUAAGAGCAGAGCAUGCCAAACCUCAGACUCAGGCCAUUAAUAGUCAAAACACCGCACAUCAAACACUGUUCCGUGUUCAUUACAUACAUUCACAAGAUACGCGGCCCUUUUGUUUCAAGGCGGUCCACACAAACGACUGCCCGAGUCACAAAACCCAGUCGUAUGACUGCCCAGUGUCGAAAUGGGAUUGCGUUUAGGCACUUUACCCGACACUCUCCUCCUCCCUUCUCACUGGUUCAGUAAAGGUGGGAGCUUUAUCGAAAGAGCGACGCCAUAACCACCGAUUCAAAAGCUCGGAGAAGUAAUGAACGACCUCUCCAAUGGAGCUCUGGGCGACCAAAGGUGCCGUCUUUUGGUUCCUCGACUCGGUUCCGGAGUCUGACCUUCGCCUCGCCCAGCACGGGCAGCUCAUCAAGAUUACUGGGUUUCUCAUCUGUCACUCAGCAUGUGGUCUAUUCAACAUAUGGGAGGACGAACAAUAGCAUGUUGUUCCAAUGAUUCCAGAUUGCAUCAUGUGUAAGUCUCUCCCUUGAAUCUUCAUAUAAAAAAGCUACCGGCUGUAUCUAUGCCUCUACUCUUUUAUAUGAGUACAGGGGGUUAUCUCCACAGCCAGGGAAUGUCAAGAGAUCAUGCUUCCAUUGGCAUUUAGCAUUUUGUGAGAAAAGAAAAUGGCAAACUUGGCAAAGCUUGAUUUCGCUACCGUGGACAUUACUGGAAAGAAUUACCUUACCUGGGUACUAGAUACCAAGAUCCAUCUACAAGCAGCGAAUCUUGAAGAUACCAUCAAGGAAGAGAGCAGCUCAUCCUCUCAAAAUUGGGCAAAGGCCAUGAUUUUUAUUCGUCGCUAUCUUGAUGAGGCACUAAAGAGCGAGUACUUAACGGUUGAAGAUCCGUUAGCCCUCUAGAAUGCCUUAAGAAGCAGAUAUAAUCACCAGACAACGAUGAUUCUUCCAAUAGCUCGUUAUGACUGGACUCACCUAAAGAUCCAAGAUUUCAAGUCAGUGGUUGAGUACAAUGCGGCAUUGUUUAGAAUUACCUCUCAGAUGAAGCUCUGUGGGGAUACUAUUACUGAGGAGAUGUUAUUGUAAAAGACUUUCAGCACAUUCCACGCCUCUAACAUGGUCCUGCAACAGUAGUAUAGAGCGCGAGGCUUCACUGAAUACAACCAGCUGAUAUUUGUGUUCCUGGUAGCUGAACAGAACAAUGAGCUCCUGAUGAAAAACCAUAAUUCCCGACCUACUGGAUCAGCACCGUUCCCAGAAGUGAAUGUUGUUUCCCUUGAAAGAAAUACCAUAUCAUCCCGUGGCAAUAAUUACAAACGAGGACGCAGCCACAAGCAAGGUCGGUGGAAAGGGAAAUGCAAGAACCAUGGUGUCCAGUUUCACAACCAAGUUCCAAGGCAUAAUCUAGGCCCAAACUUUAAAAAAUGCAAAUCACCAGAAAGGAAAAGCUCAGAUGAACACUCCUAGAAAUCUUGAUAGGAGUUUGCCAUAGGUGUGGUGGCAACGGACAUUUGGCGAGUACUUGUCGCACCCUGAAGCAUCUGGUGGAGCUGUAUCAAGCCUCAUUCAAGGAGAAGGGUGUCAAGAUCAAUUUCUUUGACCAGGCUCAAUCAAUGGAAACCCCUGAUCCAGUGACCAAUUUAUCAGGACAGUUAAACACAACCCACCUGUUGGAUAGUUAAACACAACUCACCUGGAUGCUACAAACUUUAUUAAUGAAAGAUGGAAUGAAGUUUAUGGGUCCGAUUGAAUUAUUUAUGUUUAAUGUACUCCUGUUAUUUGUACUUGUGGUUUAAUGCUCGCAUUUUCAAUUCAAUAAAAGU